rnacentral:rRNA from 1 species
UACGGAGGGUGCAAGCGUUGUCCGGAUUUAUUGGGUUUAAAGGGUGCGUAGGCGGCCCUGUAAGUCAGUGGUGAAAUACUGCAGCUUAACUGUAGCAUUGCCAUUGAUACUGUAGGGCUUGAGUACAGAUGAGGUAGGCGGAAUUGAUGGUGUAGCGGUGAAAUGCGCAGAUAUCAGGAGGAACACCAAUUGCGAAGGCAGCUCGCUGGGACGUUACUGACGCUGAGACGCGAAAGCGUGGGGAGCAAACAGG